AUAUUGUAAAUAUUUAUUUAUAUUAAUAUAUUAUGUAAUUAACUGAAAAGGGUUUAACAAAGAUAUCUUAAAAGUUAUUGUAUUACUUUACCUUUUGUAUCAGGGAUUAACUAAAUAGUUUAUGUAGCAAUAAUUAUCUAGAAUAGUAGUGAUCUUUUUUUAUAUUUUAUUUAUUUUUAUAUAAAUACUUUGAAUAUAAAUAAAGAGAAGAAAUUUCAUUCGAACUAUUAAAUAUCUAGUUAUUUAUAAAAUAAUUUUAAUUUAGAUAAGUAGGAAAUAAUAUUCUUUCUUAAAUAAAAUUAGAAGGGUAAGCUUUUUAGUUAAUUAUUAAUAAUAUAUAAAGAACAUAUAAAUAAAAAUUUAAAUACAUUAAGAUUUGAUAUUAUUUUUAAUUAAUAUUUAUAAUAUUUUAAUUUUAUUAAUUUUUUAAGUUGUAAUUUUAUUUUAUCUAUUAAAUAAUAUAAAAAAAUUUUAGUAAUAUAAAUAUAAUGUUAGUAUUAGUAUAUUAUAAUUAUUUAUAUUUAAAAUAUAAUGUUUUAAAUUAAGUAUUAAAUUAACUAGACAAUAUAAUUAUACAAUUGUUUAACAAAAACAUUUUCCAUAGAAUUUUUAUUAUAGAUAAAAUCUGCUCAAUGAUAAUUAUAUUUAAUAGCCGCAGUAUUUUAACUGUGCUAAGGUAGCAUAAUAACUCGCUUUUUUAUUGAAAGCUAGCAUGAAAGAUUAAAUGAUAUAAUAUUUUUAUUUAAUAUUACAUUUAUAAUUUAUAUUAUGCGUAAAAAUACACAUAUAAUAAGAAAAGACGAUAAGACCCUGCAAAGCUUAAAAUAAAUUAUAUAACAAAUUUUGUUAAUAUUAUUUUUUUAAUUGGGGCAAUUUUAUUAAUUUUAAAUAAAUAAAUAUUAAAUAAAAUUCGAAUAUGAAAUUUUUUGAUUCUUUAUAAGAUUAUAAGAAAAGUUACUUCAGGGAUAACAGCACAAUAAAUUUUAAGAGUUCUUAUCAACAAUUUGGAUUGUGACCUCGAUGUUGAAUUAUAAAAACUACAUUGAGCAAAAACUUUGAUAGUUAGUCUGUUCGACUUUUAAUAUUAUACAUGAUUUGAGUUCAGACCGGCUAAAGCCAGGUUGGUUUCUAUCUUUCUUUUAGUUGCUAUUUUUAUUAGUACGAAAGGACCAUAAAAUUCUAAUAUUUAGAUUGUG
rnacentral:rRNA from 1 species